UCCGAGUUUCAGUUCUUCAUUUGAGGAAUGUAAAUUAUAAAGUUUUCUCAAAAGGGGUGUUUCGUAAUUGCUAGCGUGACAUAAGUUUUGCUUGUUAGCGAGUGUAGAAACAGAAAAAUAGGACGAAUUGUGGAGUAGUUACACUCUUUAUGGUGUCUGGCACAAUGAGGGCGCUUCUUCCUCGUCAUUCCGCCCCUGGGACUAGCCAGCGUUGCUUCCAAUAACAAAUGCUGGAAGAUGAUUAAUGAUUGUAUCCUACACAAUUCUAUUGAUUCAUACAUAAAGCAGUAAAUUUCAAUACCCUUUAAGGACGAAACUAAGGCAACUUGGGGACAAGUAUUUCAUCAUGGGAAUUAGAGCCCGGAGUAUGUGAACGAGGACAGUCAAUCUAUUUUAAUUAGAAACUUCCAACUAAUAGUCUGCACAAUGCUUCAUAAUCAUCCCUUGCUCAGUCAUGUAGACACCACCCAUUUAUUACCUCAAGGGGGUCGAAUACCCUCCCAUCAAUUGCCAACGGAAGUUCAAAUAACACCAAGUCUGGCGGCCCCUCGUAAUAGAGUGCUGAAGAUUUCAGUGCUUGGAAUUAGACUGGAAGGGAAACUCUGUUACUAGUGGAAAAGUUUUUCAUACGAAGGAAACCUGCAACCACUCUUAGAAAGGUGCUACUCCAUAUCUCGUGCAUAGCUGACUGUAUACAUGCGACAGUAGUUCACUUUCCAUCCCCCUGAAGCGAAAUGAAAAUGCAGAAGAAGAAUUUUCCCAAAGUUUUAAAGUCAACAGUAGAAACACGCGGUGCCUUAUGGAAAAACCAUUGAGAACAGCUUAAGAAGUUUCCAAUAUA